rnacentral:sRNA from 1 species
CUUCAGGCAUUGGAGCAUACGGCGGGGUAGGGAUACUUUGGUCGGUUUCAUCUACCCCGCCUCUACUUCGGAAUACACAGCAUCUUGCUUCCUUUGAAUCAUAAGUUGAACCAUCUCCUUUAUUAAGUUUUUGUUAAAUUCCCAAUAUUAUAUACAAUUAUCCUGUAUGCUGUUCUAUACAGAACCUGUUCUUUUUUCAUAAAAAAAACACUUCCUUUCCCCAGGAAGUGCUGA